GACGUAGGGCGCGAGCGUUGUCCGGAUUUAUUGGGCGUAAAGAGCUCGUAGGCGGCUUGUCGCGUCGGCUGUGAAAACCCGCGGCUCAACUGUGGGCGGGCAGCUGAUACGGGCAGGCUGGAGUUCGGUAGGGGAGACUGGAAUUCCUGGUGUAGCGGUGAAAUGCGUAGAUAUCGGGAGGAACACCAGUGGCGAAGGCGGCUACCUGGCCCACUCUUGACGCUGAGGCGCGAAAGCUAGGGGAGCAAACGGG
rnacentral:rRNA from 1 species